rnacentral:lncRNA from 1 species
CUAUCAAAAAUAUAAAAUCAUAUAAAUAUGACACUAGAAGAUGCAGAAUAAAAUCUAUAGAAACGGUGUCGUAUUACGUGAAGUCUUGCUUGAGAAUGCAUCGAGCAUCUGGUUGUGGAAAGUAAAAGAAAAUUGCAACAAAAGGUCCUAAAAAUCUAAUAAGAUUAUAGAGAAUUUACAAUUAAAUGUUAAGAAUCAUAAUCAAACAUUGAGCAAGCUCAAUUAAAUUUUAUUGAAAUUAUAAAAGAAACACAAGAAAAUCCUAAAAAAAUAUAAAAGAAUAUUAAAGAAACUUAGUCAAACCUUAACAAAAAUCUAAUAAAACCUUAAAUUCUAACCAAUUCCUAAUCCUAAUCCAACCUUAAUCAAAUCCUAGAAAAACCCUAAAUUCUAAACCAAAUCCUAAUCAAACCUUAAUCAACCCCUAAAUCUUAAAUCAAUCCCUAACCAAAUCCUUAACUAAAUCUUAAAUCCUAAUCCAAACCUUAAUUUAAAUCCUAAUUUAAACCUUAAAUCCUAAAUCAAAUCCUAAAUCAUAUCCUAAUCCUAAUAAAUCCUAAAUCCUAAACCAAAUCCUAACCAAAUCCUAAUCCUAAAUCCUAAUCAAAUCAUAAUCCUAAAUCCUAAUCAAAUCCUAAUCCAAACCAAACUCUAAUCACAGAUUUAAAAAUUAAAUAAUUAAAGAUUGAACCGUUGAUUCUAAUUCAAAAUUUUCAUACUUCUUGGAGUUUAAGUUGGAAACCAGCAUACAAAUUUUGAAGAAAAUCGCACUUACCAAUUAGUCAAUGACCUCAAUAUUCCGCUCGGAUGUUGGCUAGUCUUUCCUUCUUUAAUCUUGAUGCCAACUUCCCACAUUGAUAUCUUCCUUUUCUAUGGUUUGAUUACUUCUAAAUUUUACUUGCAUAAAACCAAAAAUCUCUCCAAUUCAACAAGCAAAUUCCUAGAUAUCUAAGAAAACCUUAUUGGUCCUCAAAACCCUAAAUCUCGAGACCUUAAUCCACAAAAACCUUCAUAUGUAUGGAUCUAGCCAUUCGAUUGAUCUUAAAUCUCUUACAUACAUUUACAACAAGCACACCAAUAAGUUUCUAAAUUUUCACCCAUAAAAAUGCUACAAAAGAGACGAAAUCCAAAAAUUUGUAAACUGGUUUUAUUUCUCAAAGUUCAAAAUUCACAGAGAACAUCUUUUGCUUUGAAAAUCCCUCAAAAAUCCAAUACUGAUCCAAACGACACGAAAUCACCUCUCAAAAAUCCUUCAACAAGUCUUGUCUCUAAUUCGGCUCUCCGAUCUUUCAAAGAACCCUUGAGUCGCCAUUAGAGCACGGUUUUGUGCCUUGGGGUCUGAUUUCGACCCAUGUUCAUAACCGGUCCUCUUCGGAUAUCAACUUUCGUCUUCUUGAGGUAAAUUUUACUAAUUUGCACUCCUAUCUCCUCCCUACAUAUGCCUAUAUUCUUUAUUUUUUUAAUCUACCUUGUUUUGUCUUAUUUAUGGCCUUACAAAGUAAAUAAAAGCAUAAUUUGUAAAAAGGCAGCAUUAACACCUUUAAUUUUUCUACCCUUUGACUAAUAUCUAUUUUUUCAAGAUAAUUUGCUACAAUAUUUUAGAAGUGAGAUCCUCAAAACAUGAUAUUUUCUUCAUCCUUUCACUUAUUAGCAAUGUUACAUCAUGACAUCCACCUCCCCUGAACCUGUGCAUCCUCUGGUAUGCACCAAGUUCCUUCAUUAUAUUGAUAUCGAAUUGUCUUCAUCUUGGUCAAUUUCUUGAUCUUCAUUUUGGUCUUUUUCUUCUAUCUCAAUAUCUAUUAUUAGAUUUUAUUCUUUUUAAAACAAAUGUCUUUACCUCUUUGAUUAAACAAUUUGAUUCACUUGCCUACUAUUGGUAUCUUUAAAUCUAUACCAUCCAGUUCUCGUAACAAGUAUGUUCCAUUCUCAUGCACUUGUUUGACAAUAUAAGGUCCAAACCAUCUCCUUCCAAAUUUCUUUGCCAUAUUAUAUUGGUUGUCCAAAUUACUAUCAUAAACCAACACCCAAUCACUAUUUUGAAUUGGUUUUGGAUGCAAUCGAUUCUUUUUGUCAAACCUCUCCUUGUUUUUUUAUCUCGCUUCUUUCAACUUUCUCACAGCUACUUCAAUGUCUUUGGACCUUCUUUCAAGUUGUCGAAUUCGUAAUGCCAAUAACUCUUCUCUUUUUAAACCAUCUUCCCAAGGUAAUAUAGCCCAUGUUGAUACAACCUUCUCUAUCGGCAUUAAUGAUUUUUGACCAUACAUCAAUUUUGUUGGCAUGUAUCCUAUGAUUGUACUAUGAGUUGUGUGAUCCGCCCAUAAUGCAAAUGGUAAUAAUUUAGGCCAAUCACUUAUUUUGCCUUUACAUGCUUUAACAAAUAUUUUAAUAAUCAGAGAAUAUCCACGUUCACUCUUGCCAUUCCCUUCCGGAUUAUAUAUUGUUGUCAAUGCAAGUUUAAUAUCCAUCCUUUCAAAGAACUCUCGUGCUUCACUUGCAUCUAAUUCUCUUCUAUCUGCAAUGAUUUUUCUAAUACAUCCAUAUCGGCAAAUAAUUUCCUCUAAUAUAAACCGACAUACUCCUUCCGUAGUCUUUAUUGAAAGUACUCUUCCCUCUACUUGAUUUGUCAAAUCUUCCCGAAUAAGUACCAAAUAUUUUCUUUGACCAAAUCCCAUUGACAUUACAACUAAAUCAACCACCCAUUUAUAAUGAAUUACUAAUGGGUAUGUAAGAUGCAAACCAUCUCGAUAACAAAUAUUUGAAUAUAUUUGGCAAGUUUUUUAAGAUCCUACAAAAUCCGCCACAUCCCUAUACAUACCCUUCCACCAAUAUUUUUCUUUCAACUUAAUAAAUAUUGUCAAAAUAUCUCGAUGCACUACUCAUAAACUUUCAUGAAAUUCCUUAAUAAUCUUUUGUUGAGCUUCUAAACCACAUAUCACUCAUUGUGGUACUUCUUCUCUCUUCUUUGGAUGCUUCCAUAAAUAUCCAUCUCUUAAAAAAUAUCCAUAGGCUUUCUUUUGGAUUUUUUUAAAUUCUUGAUCUGUCCAACCAUCUUGUUGCUUUAAUGUGCUUUAAUACUCCCCAAUGUCUUUCUAUUCUUCUUCAUAUAGAUCUCUUGAAAAUAUUUCUAAUGGUAUAUUCAAACAUAUACUUUCUUCUUUUGAUAAUGCAUUAAUAUAAAAAUUUGUAUCCACAUUAUCUUCUAAAUCUAUCAUAUCUUCUUCAUCGUAAUACCUUGCUCUUGAUAACAUAUCUGCGACUAAAUUUUCUUUUCUUGUAAUAUGUUUAAAUCCCAGAUUUAUAGAUUUGAUAUAUGCCAUCCACCUUAAUAUAUCAAUAUCAAGAGUUGAACAACUUGUAAUCAUACCCAAUAAAAGUAGACAAUUUAUUUCUACAACUACUGAUGUACCAAUCAAAUAUUCCCUUUCAUUUUUCAUAGCUAUUACUACAUCCCAUAAUUUUCUUUUGAUUUGUACAUAUAUCCUUUGUCUAGCAUUCAAAACCUUUGCUCCAAACCUUACUACAUAUCUAUUCUUUUGUUCAUCAUCUUGUCUAACUGCCCAACCUAUUCCAAUUGGACUUGUAUCAAUUGUUAAUAUUAAUGGCCUUUCACAUUCAUAAUUUACUUUCUUCAAAGUUGGAGGUGAAGAAAGAAAUUCUUUUAACUUUACCAUAACUUUUCUUUGUUCUUUUUUCCAUUGAAAUUUUUGAUUCUUUCUUGACAACUCAUAUAAUGGAUUUGAUAUAUGUGUAAAAUGAGGUAUCCAUAUAUGAUAGAAAAUACAUGUUCUUAAAAACCUCCUGACUUCUGUUGUAUUUGCACACUCUUUCUUUUUUUUUAUAAUAUCAACUUUUUUCCUACUUGGAUUGCAUCCAUAUGAACCACACAUGUCUCCUACUACCAAAACUUCUUUUACUCCAAAUAUUGAUUUUGUCCUCGAUAAGGUCAAAUGAACUUCUUCUAACCUUAUCAAAACCUUUUCACAAUCAUCAAUAUGAUCUGCCACAAACUUCCUACAUCCCUUUGAAUCCAAUAUCUCACCCUUUCUUUCUUCUUUACAUCCCUUAAUUGGUACAUCAUCUAGAAAAGAUAUUGUUAUUUUUGGAAUAAAAUCUCUUAGUAUCUUAUGCAUUCCAUUCAUCAUGUGUGCCACAAAAUUUGUAGCCCCUUGUGGUAAUGUAUACAUUCUGACCAAUCCCAAUGGUGUCUUCAUAGUUGUCAAAUCUCUACUUUGCAUUGCCAAUUGAAAUUGAUCGUAUCCUGAGUAAAGAUCUCUCAUAGAAUAAAUUGAUCUCCCUGUAAAUGCCUCUGUAAACUCAUCCACAAUUGGACUUGAGCCCAUGUUUCUAAUAGUUAUUUUAUUUACUGGUUGCAUAUCUUGAAUAAACCUCAAUGUUCCAUUUUUCUUAGGUACUGUAAACCACCGAUUGGAAUAUGGUGCAAUAGAUGGUUCUAAAAUUCCCAUCUUAAUUUUUUCAUUGAGUAAUUCAACUAGCUUUGGCAAAUGGACCUUUCGAAUUGGAAUUGGCCUCAAAUUCCAUAGUUCAUGCAAUAUUGUAAAAGUAACCAUAGGUGCUACAAUACUCGGAUCAAUGCACCCUAUUUCAUGUGAUUCAAAUGCAAAUGCUUUACCAUGUCGUGAAAGCAUUUCUUUAAAAUAUUUCUCCUCAUCUCUUAUCAAAAAUUUAUCUCAUUCAAUUUUCAAACUAUCUAACGUCAAAUUAUCCUUGAAUUCAUGACCUACUUUCCUUGGAUCUCUUAAGUUAGGUUGCAUAGAAGCCCCUUUAAUCCUUUCUUCAAAAUCCGAUAGUAAUGGCAAUGCCACUAGUUUAACCUUCCUUGUAACAGUCUUGUAUUUUGUGUUCACCUUCACUUCAUAUCUAUCCAUAUAUUCUUUUAUUCCAUCAUAAACUAGCUUAGAAUAGAUAUUUAUUACUUUAUCACCUCUUUCAAAAUCUCCAUUCAAUAAUAUUUGUAAAUCAUUCAUAAUAUCACCAAAACAAGAUUCUCCAAACAUUCCUGAUAUGUAUUCAUCUUCAUCAAACAUUCCACAUUUCUUUAAUCCCUGUUCUACAUUCUUAGUAUUUUUUUAUCUAUCCUACUAAAAUUAUUUAUAUUUUUGAAUAAAAUAUAUCCAUCUCAUGAUAAUUCUACAAUAUCUUCAUCCUUUCUAUUAGGCGGGAAGCCUUCACUCUUUUUACCAUUGCAAUCCCGCUUCACAAUGGCGUCUAGUAAAAAUCCUUUGAGUCUUCAAGAUCUUCAAAUUAUUUAUGUAUCUUUGAUAAAUGAUGUUCCUUCAAACUAUCCCUAUUUCUUCUAUGAUUUGCACAAACUGUUAAAAAUUGCACUACCCUCUUUCCGUCUUGACUUCUUAUCCUUGCAUAAGUUGAUCUAUCAUCCAUAACCUUUGUCUUCAUUCAUGUGGCAGUAAUAUAUGGUUGUCAUAAUAUAAUAGGAUAUGUAGACAUAUCUUGCACAAAGAAAUUUUGUUCAUGAAUAACAUUUCCUAUUGUCACCUUGAUAUUUGGACAAGCUCCAUACAAAUCCCCCUUUGAAUUAUUUGUUGCUCUUAUCAUCUACCCAUGCUCAAUAUCAAUAAGCCAAUUUUUCCUUUUAUAUAAUUCUGUUGAAAUUAAAUUUAUUUCAAAACCAUGAUCAAUCAAUGUUAUAAUUGGUUCUUCUAAAUCUUUCAAUUUUACCAAAGUUUCCGUAGUAGCCCUUGCCCAAUGACUUCGAGAAUAAUGACUAGAAGCUUGAAUCAUAUUUUCUUUUUCUGUAAAUUUGACUUGUGAAACAUCUCCAACAAUUUGCAUUUCAAUUUCUUCAUCUUCAUUGCUUCCUAUUGCCUUUGUACCUUAUGCAUUUGAUGUCAUAGUAUCACCAAUAGAUUGUCGUUUUCUUUUUAUUGUAUCAAUAAUAACUUUAUGAAAUUCUCAUUUUGCAAUUUCUAGAAUUUUACCAAUUGUAAAUUCAACCUUUCCACUUAAAAUCCGCUCCUCCAAUACUUUCUUCAAAUCUAUAGCAGCUUCAAUAUUUAGUUGUAAUUUAUAAGCAGGAACCUUUACUUUUUCUUUCAUAAUCUCCCUCUCCUUUGUAGAAAUAUUCUCUAUUAUCUCUUCAUGCAUAGGAUUCUUUUGUUGUCGAGUUUUAUCUUCCCUUGUGAUUCUUUUUGAUGGCCCUUCAUGAUUUUCGUCUUUCCUUCAUUUUUCUUCUAUUAAUGCUUCAUGUUGACUCCUUGCAAUAUCAGCAUGAACUGAUAAUCUAUCUACUCGAUCAUCCCACCUAGUAAUUUGUUGAAUAUUAUUGACAACAUGUUUUAGAUCAUUUCUAGUAAAAUUUCCCUUUUCAGCAUAAUUCAUUGCAGUUGACCAUAAAGAACUAGAUUUUCCUGGAUACUCAAGAUUUAUACUUAAGCAUUUGCUUAGAUUUUCCUCCACCCAAAAUAUUGAUGCUUCGUUGCUUGAAGUUGUAUGCACCUUGAAAGCAUCUCCUACAAAUACCUUCAUUCCUCUUUUACUAAAAUUUGUCUCUAAUUUUUCUCCACUCUCUUUUAAGUGUAUCAUACCAUCUUUAAAAAAAACAACUCCUUUGCAUAGCACCUCUAAAAAAUCCUCACACUCCCUUUUUGAAUAAUCUAUGCUAUCACACCACAUGCACCUAUGCACCAUACUUUCUAUUGGUCUUAAAUUUUAUAUUGUUGAUAUUCUUGAUGAUUGAUCCAUCUCUUCAAGUUUUGCAAAUUUUAUUUGCAAAUCUUUCAUCCCUCAUAUGAUUUCAUCAAUGCCCAUUUCUUCUCUCUUUGAUGUAGCCAUUGAAGGUUGAAUUGUAGAUGUAGGAUAGAUAGCAGGAAUUUUUUCUUUAGAUGUUUGCAAUGUUCUUUGAAUUUCCAUCCUAUCUUUUCUCUUUUCUCUUUUUGCAAGGAUCCCAAUCGCCUCUUCUACUUUUUUCCAAUUUGUUGUCAAUCCUUCAACUUCUUCUUUAUCUUCUAGCUAAAUUUCCAACUUCUCUUGCAACUCUCUAUUAGCCACUUGAAGAAAAAGCUUUACUUUACUUGUUUUAAUAAUUACCUCUCCUUUAAUAAAUAAGAAUAUUACUUUUCAAACUUCCUUAGUAACUCCGUUGCUAGUAGAUCCUUCUUAGGCCUUUCAAUCUAUUAAAAAAACAACUUCUUUGUAACUCGGUCACUAUCUUCUAAAAAAUAUUCAUCCUUCAAUGCUUGAGAUAAUUUUUUCCAUGAACCUCCAGAAUGUCCUAUAAUGGACUUCAUAUGAUUUCUUAUUUCUGGUGCAGUAGCCAAUUCAAAUAGCUGAACCAUCUCCUUCUCUGAAACAUGCUUCAAUUCCAUUUCAUUUACGUAACAUCUUAAAUAUUUUAUAAUAUUCUUUCCUUCAAAUUGAUCAAUCUUGUCUACAACAGCUUGUAAUGCUUUGUCUGCUAUGCCCUCUUUGCAAUCUUUAACCUAUUGUUGUUGCAUGAAUAAGGCCAAUGCCUCAAAUAUGCUUCUAGAGUUGGGAUCAAAAUACAUACCUUGUCUUUCAAUUGAAGCUCCACUUCCAACUCCACUUGAAGCACCACCAAAAGCUCUUCCUUCCAUUCUCUUACCUUCCUUCUUCAUAACCCAAAUAGAUCAAAGAAACUCCAAAUACCUCUUACCUCAAGUUUUUCACGUCGGGUUCACCAAAUAUGUUGUAUAAUGUGAAGUCUUACUUGAGAAUGUACCGAACACCUAGCUAUGAAAGGUAAAAGAAAAUUGCAACAAAAGGUCCUAACAAUCUAAUAAGAUUUUAGAGAAUUUACAAUUAAAUGUUAACAAUUAUAAUCAAACAUUGAGCAAGCUCAAUUAAAUUUUAUUGAAGUUAUAAAAGAAACACAAGAAAAUCCUAAAGAAAUAUAAAAGAAUAUUAAAGAAACUUAGUCAAACCCUAACAAAAUCUAAUAAAAUCUUAAAUUCUAACCAAUCCCUAAUCCUAAUCCAACCUUAAUCAAAUCCUAGACAAACCCUAAAUCCUAAACCAAACCUUAAUCAAACCAUAAUCAAAUCCUAAACCUAAAACCAAUCCCUAAUCAAAUCCUAAACCAAAUCCUAAAUCCUAUUUCAAACCCUAAUUCAAAUCUUAAAUCCUAACUCAAAUCCUAAAUCAAAUCCUAAACCCUAAACCCUAAACCAAAUCCUAAACCAUA